UCGUAGUAAAUACAUAUGUUACUCCAUCUCAAAUUGUACCUGAAUG
rnacentral:sRNA from 1 species